rnacentral:lncRNA from 1 species
AAAAAUACCUUUUUUUCCAAUACUUGAUUUUUAGCAAGUAUAACUUGAACUUUGACCUUUUUGUUUUAAAAAAUCAGGGAUAUUUCAGCUCAUGUUCCCCCUUACGCCAACACAUCAUCUGUGUUUGUGUACAAUUGUUCUAGGUUAAUAUAUUCUUUUUCAGGGAUUUAACCAUUUUAUUUUGAAUCCCUCCUAUUUUGUACAUGUACUGAUAUAAGACUAACUUGUAAAUGUGUUGGCUGUUAAUUAUAACGAAAAGUUUGGAGAAUUUUUUUGACUGUUUCAAGGAGGAAAAGAAAUUACAUGAAAAUAGAAUGCACUGAGCUGAUAAAGGGAAAAUUGUAAGCUAGGAGUUUGGGAAGUAGCUGUUGGCCAGAAUAUGUCAACUCUCCAUAAAGUCCUUGUGAUCUAGUCAGUACCAGCAAAUACUUCAUGAGGACUUCGACAGGUGGGCCUAACACAAGGCGUGGUAUCCAGUAGGACUGUACAAUUACAUUUAGCGCUAAGUACAUUUUUGCUUACUAGCUUUUCAGAUAAAUUCUUAAUCAGUGGAAACUCUUGGGUUUUAUUGGUUAAAUCUUUUAAUCACUGCAGACUUUGGGGUUUUAUUGGUCAAAUCUUUAAUCAGUGGGGGCCUUUAGUUUCUAUCGGCCAAAUCUUUCUAAGAUGAUUUUUGUCUUUAAAAAGCUCUCAAGUUUAUGGCUGUGUCCAAUUUAUAAGCAUUUUUAAGCCAUUUGCUUUGGAUCCAAAUCACAUGGUUAUUGUUUUCCAUAAACCAUAAUCUCCAACCCAAAGCACUGCACAUGGGUUUGGUGAUGUUGAGUGAACCAUCCAAUGAUUGUUUGGUGACCGUGUCAUCCACUGCCAUUUUCAAACUGCUGGCCAACUAGAGCAGGAAGUGUAGUUCAGGUAGGUGGGAAGAAGUUAGGUAGGAAGGAAGUAGAGUGUAUUGUAAAUAUCAGAUCUCUGAUUGUACAUAUCUAGCCUGCCUCAGAAUGAAUGAAAAGCCAGUCUGCAGUUUGCUUAUAUAGGAAUGUCAGGUUGACUCUAUAGCCAUAUUUGAAAAUGCUUCAGUGGUGGCAACUUUACUUGAAUGAAUUUUUCAUCUUUAUUGACGCACAGUGAUGUAUAGUUCACUUUAAAAGCUAGUGGCUAACUUUGGUAGGAAAUGUUUGCAUUUGGACACUAAGAUAAUGAACUGUGUGCAUUUUUCUAUGCUUUAUUUUUUUAACAGUCAUUUCAUUCUCAUGAGAUGUUUGGUUUGUUUGUAAAAUCUAAGGAUGGUUAUAAAUACUGUAAAGUAUUGUAAUGUUAUGAAUGCAGGUUAUUUGAAAGCUGUUUAUUAUUAUAUCAUUCCUGAUAAUGCUAUGUGAGUGUUUUUAAUAAAAUUUAUAUUUAUUUAAUGCA